rnacentral:rRNA from 1 species
GCAUAUCAAUAAGCGGAGGAAAAGAAACCAACAGGGAUUGCCCCAGUAACGGCGAGUGAAGCGGCAACAGCUCAAAUUUGAAAUCUGGCCCCUCGGGCCCGAGUUGUAAUUUGUAGAGGAUGCUUUUGGCAAGGUGCCGCCCGAGUUCCCUGGAACGGGACGCCGCAGAGGGUGAGAGCCCCGUCUGGCUGGCCACCGAGCCUCUGUAAAGCUCCUUCGACGAGUCGAGUAGUUUGGGAAUGCUGCUCAAAAUGGGAGGUAUAUGUCUUCUAAAGCUAAAUAUUGGCCAGAGACCGAUAGCGCACAAGUAGAGUGAUCGAAAGAUGAAAAGCACUUUGAAAAGAGGGUUAAACAGUACGUGAAAUUGUUGAAAGGGAAGCGCUCAUGACCAGACUUGGGCUUGGCGAAUCAUCCGGCGUUCUCGCCGGUGCACUUCGCCUCGCUCAGGCCAGCAUCAGUUCGCGCCGGGGGACAAAAGCUUCGGGAAUGUGGCUCCUCCGGGAGUGUUAUAGCCCGUUGCAUAAUACCCUGGUGCGGACUGAGGUUCGCGCAUCUGCAAGGAUGCUGGCGUAAUGGUCAUCAGCGACCCGUCUUGAAACACGGACCAAGGAGUCGUCUUCGUAUGCGAGUGUUCGGGUGUCAAACCCCUACGCGUAAUGAAAGUGAACGCAGGUGAGAGCUUCGGCGCAUCAUCGACCGAUCCUGAUGUUCUCGGAUGGAUUUGAGUAAGAGCAUACGGGGCCGGACCCGAAAGAAGGUGAACUAUGCCUGUAUAGGGUGAAGCCAGAGGAAACUCUGGUGGAGGCUCGCAGCGGUUCUGACGUGCAAAUCGAUCGUCAAAUAUGGGCAUGGGGGGCGAAAGACUAAUCGAACCUUCUAGUAGCUGGUUUCCGUG